UUAUCGUUUAUUUGAUAGUACCUUACUACUUGGAUAACCGUGGUAAUUCUAGAGCUAAUACAUGCUAAAAACCCUGACUUCGGAAAGGGUGUAUUUAUUAGAUAAAAAACCAAUGCCCUCCGGGGCUCUUUGGUGAUUCAUGAUAACUUAACGGAUCGCAUGGCCUUGCGCCGGCGACGGUUCAUUCAAAUUUCUGCCCUAUCAACUUUCGAUGGUAAGGUAUUGGCUUACCAUGGUUUCAACGGGUAACGGGGAAUUAGGGUUCGAUUCCGGAGAGGGAGCCUGAGAAACGGCUACCACAUCCAAGGAAGGCAGCAGGCGCGCAAAUUACCCAAUCCCGACACGGGGAGGUAGUGACAAUAAAUACUGAUACAGGGCUCUUUUGGGUCUUGUAAUCGGAAUGAGUACAAUUUAAACCUCUUAACGAGGAACAAUUGGAGGGCAAGUCUGGUGCCAGCAGCCGCGGUAAUUCCAGCUCCAAUAGCGUAUAUUAAAGUUGUUGCAGUUAAAAAGCUCGUAGUUGAAUCUUGGGCCUGGCUGGCCGGUCCGCCUCACCGCGUGUACUGGUCUGGCCGGGCCUUUCCUUCUGGAGAACCUCAUGCCCUUCAUUGGGUGUGUUGGGGAACCAGGACUUUUACUUUGAAAAAAUUAGAGUGUUCAAAGCAGGCCUUUGCUCGAAUACGUUAGCAUGGAAUAAUAGAAUAGGACGUGCGGUCCUAUUUUGUUGGUUUCUAGGACCGCCGUAAUGAUUAAUAGGGAUAGUCGGGGGCAUCAGUAUUCAAUUGUCAGAGGUGAAAUUCUUGGAUUUAUUGAAGACUAACUACUGCGAAAGCAUUUGCCAAGGAUGUUUUCAUUAAUCAGUGAACGAAAGUUAGGGGAUCGAAGACGAUCAGAUACCGUCGUAGUCUUAACCGUAAACUAUGCCGACUAGGGAUCGGGCGAUGUUUCAAU
rnacentral:rRNA from 1 species